rnacentral:lncRNA from 1 species
UGGGGGCCCGGCCGCCUCGGAGGCCUCGACGGCUGCCCGGAGCCAGCAUGCGCCCCACCACGGGCGCCCCCUGGACACGGCCAGGGCAGGAGCUCCAGCGACUCCGGAGAGACCCAUUCAGACACCAGCUGACCAGAUAAGCGCCUCAGGGGGUCAGCUGUGCUGCGCCCUGCAAACAAGCCAGCUGAGUGGCUGCUGAAAAACAGCAUGUCACCAGGAGCCUUCCUCUCCCACUGUCAAAUUUUAUUCUGCCUUAACCACGUGUCUGAGGCACCUGGAUAAUACCCUGAGCCACACAAAACCUGUUAGUUCCAGAGCUCUCUCCGGAACCAGAGGAAAGAAGACCCAAACUGCUUCUGGAAGCCUGGUGAUCGGCCUGUGAACCACAGAGGCUCACACUCUGACGAGGAGAACUCCCUUCAGCCGCUGCAGUGACCUCAACAGGGCGCUUUCCAAACUACAGAGGACUUCCGCGUGCAGAGGGGGAUGUCCGCUCUACCGAGGACGGCCCCCAAGACUCAGAUUUGGAUGUGCCUCUGGGGUGGCACCACCUGCUUUCCUUGAGAAUCACUUCCCUGGUGAAGCCUAGAAGUUCAGUGGCGUGUGCUGAGGUGGAAUGACAGGUUCAGAACCCCUCUACUAGAAGAUCACUAGCCACACUACAAAGCUAGAUAACGAAAAUAAGUUAGUAAUAUCUCUCCAUUUAUCACGCCACCCACGCUAACCAAAAUACUUUGAUUAAAGAUAAUCUAGAUAUUAAGUUAAAACCACCCAAAAAAAAACCCAUAAUCAAUAAUGAUGUUCUGAUAUGACGAAAAUGCCCUGUUUCAAUCCUUAAAUAUAGGGGAAAUUAGCUCGUAUUCAUGGAGCCUAGAAACUUAACAUGAAUUUGUAUGAUGAAUAAAAAGACCAUUUUGCUAGACUCCA